CUCUUAAGAAGCUGCUUUCAAAGCAGACAAAAGAAUCAAACAGUAUUGAUUGUAUACACCAGGACCAAGACAACUGCACAAGAAGACCUCCUUUCCUAAACCAGCAAAGGCUUCACAUGGAGAAGAUUCCAGGUACCAACCAUGGAUGUGAUGUUCUCCCAACAGAAAAGAAUGGAUGAAUGGGACUCUCAAUGAACUGAACUCAGAGUACAGGACCUUCUGCCCUACCACCUCCAAACAAACCUUGGUGUCCACCCACUUGACCUACAAUAAGGAGAAGAAUGGACCAAGGUGAGUUUGUAGAAAUGCAACUUAGAUUGCAAUUUGACAUCAGACUGUCAAUAAAGUUUCCUUCUCCAAGUUAACCUUGAAAGCA
rnacentral:lncRNA from 1 species